CAGACCCAUAGGGCUCUGGUCAAAAGUAGAGCACUCUAUAUGGGAUAGGGUGUCAUUUGCAUUUGGGACGCAUCCUUUGUACGUACUGGACCAGGCCCUGUCCCUGUGGUUAUCAGACACUAAGCCAGCCUCCAUUGGCUAAAUGAAUUGGCAAUUUCUGACUGCAGCUUUGGUCACAGCUGUGUACAGAGUCUGGUCUCUGCGGGAUAGGCUAGAGGGAUGGAGAGAGAGAGNNNNNNNNNNNNNNNNNNNNNNNNNNNNNNNNNNNNNNGAGAGAGAGAGAGAGAGAGAGAGAGAGAGAGAGGGUGUGGGAGGAGAAAACGACUACAGCACUGGGAGAGCGAGAGAGGAGCUGGAGAGGGAGAAAGAGGGGAGGAAUCUGCGUUGAUAAGGCAGACACUUGCUAGCUAGGUGACGUAUCAGUAGAGAAACAACAGAAUCCCAACAGAAUCCCUCAUGGCCAGAACUACUACAGCUAUAUAGAGACACGGGAAAGGAGAACAAAUAAGGAAUUGUGAGAGGAAUAGAUGGAGUGUACCAUUAGCUACGUUCACUGCUGAGGUUCUACCAGUCUAGCAUAGUGUAGGAGGUGGCUGAAUGAGUAGAGAGACAGAGACACGCACUCCCACUACCUCACUCUUACACACCACGCAGAGACAGGGACACAAACACACAGAGAGAUACACACCGGCGGAAGCAUGCAGCUUAAAGAUCCAGCUGACUCAGAGCAGGAGACGAGGAUGUUGUCUGUCUGUACUGUCACCGUCACUCCCUUUCUCUGUUCCUCUCUGUUUUUCCUACUUUGGGUUGCCUGGUUACAAUCUCAGUGCAUAUUUCCAAAUUGUUUUGUUUCACUUAAGAGCGUAUUCAUUUCAUCCUCUUCAGCUGGCUCUCCAGCCAACUUAAGCUAUUUUUUUUAGACAAUACUCACUCUGGCCGCAAGACAAUGAGAAGAAACCUAAUGGUUAUCAUCUAAACUUAGAAUCUAAAAUGUUUUUUUGUUGUUGUUGUACAGUAGAGUUGAGAGAGAUUUGUGUCCCCAGUAACUGUCGGAAUGAUUUUUACUAGGACAUGUCAAGGAAUGUAAAUUCAGAUUGGUGUCGAAUAAAGUUUUAUCUUGUCCAGUGAAGCUGACUGGCAAUGCUAGCGUAGGCUACACGACCUGAAGUACCCGACGGUUGGCUAUGGUGGGAAUCAGACCUGGGUUCAAGUAGUAUUUGUCAUCUUUCACACAGUGAAGCUGUGCUUGAUGAAGCUUGUCUGGCUCAAUGCAUCCAAUGGAAUUACCGCAAAAGUGCAAACCCCUCCUAAUCCAGCCUUCCUGGCAGGCUAAAUCAAACGCUCAAAGUAUUACUUUAAAAAAAUAUAAUACUAUUUGAAUCCAGGGCUGGUUGAAAUCCACACCAGCGAUGGAUCCCCAACUAAUGCUAAUGUCAAUUAAACAUGAGCCCAAUAAUAAAUGACGGUUCAGACAAAAAAAAGAUGGAAAAAGAUAAGGGUUCAGCUCAGAGACCACAGGACAGGCUGACUGGCUUUCCUGUCUCUUUGUGUCUGGGACCAGGGCCGGCCCUAGCUUUUUGGAGGUCCUAAGCGUGGUCCCCCCCUCUUGAAGGCUGAGAGAAAAAAAAUGGAAGUUUUAAAAUUAAUUUCCUGCUAUUCUAUGCAUCUUUCCCUGGGGCGAAGAGAAAAUGUUGUGGUCUUAAAACAAAUGUCAUGCAAUUCUACUCAUUUUGCCAUGGGGCGGACAGAAAAUGGAGCAGUUUUCAAUCAAAUUUCCUGCAAUUAAAAAAAAAUUACCAUUGGGUGGAGAGAAUUUAGCAGUUUUUAAAGACACAUUUCAUGCAAUUCUAAAAAAAAGAUUCCAUAGGCCGAAGAUAAAAUGUAGCCAUUUAAAAGCCAGUUUCCUAUAAUUCUGCACUUUUUGACAUGUUCAUAUGAUAUCUGAGUGAGAGUGACUAAACAAAAUCAAUGGGGGCCCCUGGGGGUGAGGGCCCCACGUGGGCACCUACCCUGUGUGCCUGGUCAGUACUUCGGCCACAAUUACUACAAUGUCUAGAUAGCUGGCUAGACUAACUUACCAUACAAAAUGUUUUUAGUGACGUGCUAAUUGAGUGACUGUCAGUGACUAACAUUACAAGAGAAAAACUGAUGCACUACCAAAUAUCGAAACGUCACCUUGUGUAUUCUACUAUUCUAAUUCGCAACAGUAAGUUGACACCCCGACUGAGUUCCUAGGGGCCGGGGGCCCCUUUUGCCUAGGGCCGGCCCUGUCUGGGACUGUGGUUUAAAAGAGGCUUAGCCUCCUGCAAAGCGUUGUCCUGGUGCUAAAGCUGGACAGUUAAAUUUAUACUGAGUGGCCUUACCGGCCUAACAUCCCCAUGAUGGACACCCCAGCUGAAACAAUUAGGAGGAGGUCACUCACUCAACAACCCCCCCCCCCCUCAGCGAAGGGAAGAAAAAAAAAUGUGCCUUUCUUAUUGGAUUCAGAUAGUACCUCCCUGUUCCCCCACAGCAGCUCUGGAGGGCACAUGGUGCUCACCGACUGCUCUACAGCACUAUGAUCAGCUGGCCUGUUGGGCUAGACACUGGGCUUUGUAAGUGAGGGUGGUACACAAGCAUAUAUAUAAUUUCCCUGUCUCAUCAGUCUCCUUUUCUCUCUCUCCCUCUCUCUCUCUUUCUCUCUCUUCCUCCACCCAUCCCACUCUCUCUAUCUCUUUUCCUCCGCCCAUCCCUCUGUCUCUCUACCCAUCCCUCUCUCUCUCUACCCAUCCCUCUCUCUCUACCCAUCCCUCUGUCUCUCUACCCAUCCCUCUCUCUCUCUAUCCAUCCCUCUCUCUCUAUACAUCCCUCUCUCUCCACCCAUCCCGCUCUCACUCUCUCCACCCAUCCCGCUCUCUCUCUCUCC
rnacentral:lncRNA from 13 species